rnacentral:rRNA from 1 species
AGAGUUUGAUCCUGGCUCAGGAUGAACGCUGGCGGCGUGCUUAACACAUGCAAGUCGAACGAACCUUCGGGUUAGUGGCGGACGGGUGAGUAACGCGUGAGAAUCUGCCCUCAGGAGGGGGAUAACAGUUGGAAACGACUGCUAAUACCCCAUAUGCCGAGAGGUGAAAUGAAUUUCGCCUGGGGAUGAGCUCGCGUCUGAUUAGCUUGUUGGUGGGGUAAUAGCCUACCAAGGCUUCGAUCAGUAGCUGGUCUGAGAGGACGAUCAGCCACACUGGGACUGAGACACGGCCCAGACUCCUACGGGAGGCAGCAGUGGGGAAUUUUCCGCAAUGGGCGAAAGCCUGACGGAGCAACGCCGCGUGAGGGAUGGAGGCCUUUGGGCUGUAAACCUCUUUUCUCAAGGAAGAAGAUCUGACGGUACUUGAGGAAUAAGCCACGGCUAAUUCCGUGCCAGCAGCCGCGGUAAUACGGGAGUGGCAAGCGUUAUCCGGAAUUAUUGGGCGUAAAGCGUCCGCAGGCGGCCGUUUAAGUCUGUUGUUAAAUCGUGGAGCUCAACUCCAUCACGGCAAUGGAAACUGUUCGGCUUGAGUAUGGUAGGGGCAGAGGGAAUUUCCGGUGUAGCGGUGAAAUGCGUAGAUAUCGGGAAGAACACCAGUGGCGAAAGCGCUCUGCUGGGCCAUUACUGACGCUCAUGGACGAAAGCCAGGGGAGCGAAAGGGAUUAGAUACCCCUGUAGUCCUGGCCGUAAACGAUGAACACUAGAUGUUGGGGGAAUCGACCCCCUCGGUGUCGUAGCUAACGCGUUAAGUGUUCCGCCUGGGGAGUACGCACGCAAGUGUGAAACUCAAAGGAAUUGACGGGGGCCCGCACAAGCGGUGGAAGUAUGUGGUUUAAUUCGAUGCAACGCGAAGAACCUUACCAAGGCUUGACAUCCUGCGAAUCUCUAAGAAAUUAGAGAGUGCCUUCGGGAACGCAGUGACAGGUGGUGCAUGGCUGUCGUCAGCUCGUGUCGUGAGAUGUUGGGUUAAGUCCCGCAACGAGCGCAACCCACGUUUUUAGUUGCCAGCAUUCAGUUGGGCACUCUAGAAAGACUGCCGGUGACAAACCGGAGGAAGGUGUGGACGACGUCAAGUCAUCAUGCCCCUUACGCCUUGGGCUACACACGUACUACAAUGCUGCGGACAAAGAGUAGCGAUCUUGCGAAAGUUAGCUAAUCUCACAAACCGUGGCUCAGUUCAGAUCGUAGGCUGCAACUCGCCUACGUGAAGGAGGAAUCGCUAGUAAUCGCAGGCCAGCAUACUGCGGUGAAUACGUUCCCGGGCCUUGUACACACCGCCCGUCACACCAUGGAAGUUGGCCAUGCCCGAAGUCGUUACUCUAACCUUUUGGAAGAGGGCGCCGAAGGCAGGGCUAAUGACUGGGGUGAAGUCGUAACAAGGUAACC